UAACGUUUGUAAAUAAAUAAC
rnacentral:piRNA from 1 species